UACGUAGGUGGCAAGCGUUGUCCGGAAUUAUUGGGCGUAAAGCGCGCGCAGGCGGCCAUUCAAGUCAGGGGUGAAAGCCCAGAGCUCAACUCUGGAACUGCCCUUGAAACUGUAUGGCUUGAGUAUGAGAGAGGUGAGUGGAAUUCCCAGUGUAGAGGUGAAAUUCGUAGAUAUUGGGAAGAACACCGGUGGCGAAGGCGGCUCACUGGCUCAUUACUGACGCUCAGGCGCGACAGCGUGGGGAUCAAACAGG
rnacentral:rRNA from 1 species